UACGUAGGGCGCACGUUGUCCGGAAUUAUUGGGCGUAAAGAGCUCGUAGGCGGCCUGUCGCGUCCGCUGUGAAAUCCCGGGGCUUAACCCCGGGCGUGCAGUGGAUACGGGCUGGCUAGAGGCAGGCAGGGGAGAACGGAAUUCCCCGGUGUAGCGGUGAAAUGCGCAGAUAUCGGGAAGAACACCCGUGGCGAAGGCGGCUCUCUGGGACGGUACUGACGCUGAGACGCGAAAGCGUGGGGAGCGAACAGG
rnacentral:rRNA from 1 species